GAAAUAGUCAGCACUGCUGUGCUGUGGGGUCCUAAAGUCUGCUGUCCUCCUUCCUGCAGACCAGGGCUGAAGGAGGGUGCCUGGGUGCUCUUGCCAUGGGUCCUGGUCCAGCCAAGCAUGGUUUCAAACAUGACCUGACCCUUAGUCAACCUGGAGGCUGAUGUCUAGAGUGGGUGCUGGUGUGUGCAGUACCUGUGGCCUCUGCAUCACCCUUAGGGCAGGUCUGCCUCCCGGGCCCAUGCACAGAGGACCUGGUCUCCCAGCCUGCAGGUGCCCCUGUGGUGUCCAGGACGACGAGGGGGUCUCUGCGUACUUGGUGGGGCUGGGACCCUCCCACUUCCCACCUCCUUGUGUUCCUCACUCCCCUGUUUCAUUCCAUGC
rnacentral:lncRNA from 1 species